rnacentral:lncRNA from 1 species
CGAGACUGCCCCAUCCAGCCCAGCCAAGCGGGGCAUUGUCACGCCUCAUCUGUCACCAGGGCAAACUGGUCCCAUUGGGCAGGGACAGGGCAGGCUAGAAGCUGCUGCAUGCCCAGCUUGGCAUGGGCGUGAGACCCACACUGUGCACACAGGAGCCUACAUUCUGGAUGAAAAAGCCCACCUCUACAAAGGCCAGUAGGAUGGGCAUGGAGGAAAGGUUGGGUCCUAGCUUGGCCUCUGUGACACCAGGGGAUAGUGUUAUCGACCUUGCCCCACAUCUCCACUUACUCAUCUGCAGAACAAGGAUGUAGAUGGUCCCUACACCCCCCUCCCCUAGAAUGUUCUGGGUGAGAAAGGGAGUGAAUGUGGGGGAAGCUAAGUUCAGGGAAGCUCCUUAAUAUUCACUCCAGGAAAAUAUCUGUGAUGUGCUCAAGGUUUUAGCUAUUCACGAUGCUAUUCAUUGUGGUGUUAUUUACGACAUCAUAAGUUGGAAACUACCUCCUUGUUCAGUAAUAGAGGACUGGCUUAGUGAGGGUGAGCGUAGCUCCACAAUGGGGCAUGGGGCUGCUCGUGGAAAGGGGGGCUUUGGGACUGCUCCCCCAAAUGGGUAAUAUUCAGCCUGGAACGACGGGAAUCCUGAGAAGACGAGGAUUCUGGCCUCACUCCAGAGUCGUCGUGCAGGGCUGUGGGCUAGACCGAGUGGGCCACGGGGCUCGGGUGGCCCCUCCUCAAGUGCCCAGCACAUUCCUGACACACCCAGUGUCCCCCUGCCCCCCACAGCUCCCGGGAACAGGACCAUCACCAUGGGGGCUGGUAUAAUGAGUGCCACUUUGCAGCCAAGGGAACUAGUGGCUCUUGGAGGUGAGUGACCCACCUUGUCACCCAGCUCCCUGUGGGGGGACAUAUGGGGAGCAGUGAGUGAGGGGCCAGCUGGAAGGAAACCUAGUCCUCCUUGAAGGCUUUUUUGGGCCACUAGUCAAGGCAGCUUCUCCAGAAAAUCCAGACAGACAGGUGAAGAGCUUUGAAAAUUAGUUGGAGUUUUUAUGUCCCGGGAGUGGCGAUGGGGAGCCAAUGAAUGUUCUGCGCAAAGACGAAGUGAUUCAGGCUGUGAGCAGCUGGUUGCAGUGAAGAGACCCAGCUGCAGGUUCGGGGUGAUCACAACAGGCCAGGCUGGGUGACACACAGCAGCUGCGGCAAUGUCAAUAGUGGACACUCCGUGAACUCCCAUCCCAUCCAAGGACCUGAAAUCACUCCUCACUUAAUCUUUAUAAGGCCCUAGGAUGGCCCUUCUCCCUAUUUCGCAGAUGGGAGAACUGAGGCUCAGCACCAUGAGACAGCACAGCUGGGGUGGGCACUGGUUCGGCGUGACUUCAAAUUGGGUAUUUUAAAUACAGUGCUCCACUGCAGAGAGAACAGAGAGCAGGAAAGGAGGAUGAGCCCCAGGGAAGGAGUGGGGAGUGGGCAGGAAGGGAUGGACUGAGCCAUACUUCGCUAGCAGCCUCAGUCCCUGAUUGGGACUUGGGGGCCUGCAGGGCCAGGUAGGAUGGGUGGUCCGAGACUGGAGCCAGCACCGUAGGUGGGAAGUGAAGGAGGAGCAGACCAGGGUACAGGGGUGCGGGCCGAUGUGCGGUGCCCAGGGAGUAAGAGUGGCUGCAGGCUGGGGGAGGUGAGAGAAGGAGAGGAAGCAAGGAGGCUGGGAGCAUGCGGUGGGGGAUGGCUUCCAGGAUGGACUGUUGGGGACUCACCAUCUGUGGGCAGCACCAAGGGGCUGGUAUAGAAGACCCACCUGGGUACUCCUCGCUCUCCAGGAUGCCCUGGU